CCCCUUGUACCUUUUGCAUCAUGAUCUAGCAAGAACAACCAGGCAAAGUGAGCUUAAGUCUGCCACCCCGAAACCCAAGCGAGCUACUCACAAGCAGCUGCCACGAGCGAACCCGUCUCUGUUGCAAAAGAGUGGGACGACUUGUUAGUAGAGGUGAAAAGCCAACCGAGCUGGGUGAUAGCUGGUUGCCUACAAAACGAAUCUAAGUUCUCCCUUAACCUCUUCCCCACCAGACAAACCUCAACCCAAAUGUAAGAGUUAAGAGCUAUUUAAAGGGGGUACAGCCCCUUUAAAAAAGGACACAACCUCAACCAGCGGAUAACUUCAACGUACCUAACCCCGUGGGCCUUAAAGCAGCCACCCCCGAAGAUUGCGUCAAAGCUCCAUCGACUAAAAACACCAAAGACUAACACGACUCCCUGCACCAAUAGUAGGCUAACCUAUAACAAUAGAUGAAUCAAUACUAGAACGAGUAACCAGGACACCACGUCCCCCCAAGCGCCAGCCUAAACGCCAUUAACAGCACAAACCUCAAUAACAACCACACCACCCCCACCAUUGAACAUACCCUGUCAAUCCAACUCAGGGGCGCACAUUGGAGUGAUCAAAGUCUACAAAAGGAACUCGGCAAACCCAAGACCCGACUGUUUACCAAAAACAUAGCCUUCAGCCAAACAAGUAUUGAAGGUGAUGCCUGCCCAGUGACACCAUGUUUAACGGCCGCGGUAUCCUAACCGUGCAAAGGUAGCGCAAUCAAUUGUCCCAUAAAUCGAGACCUGUAUGAAUGGCUAAACGAGGUCUUAACUGUCUCCUGUAGACAAUCGGUGAAACUGAUCUCUCUGUACAAAAGCAGAGAUAA
rnacentral:rRNA from 1 species